AGCCCCGUAGUGUAGCGGUCCAUCAUACGUGGCUCUGGACCACGUGACCCUGGUUCAAAUCCGGGCGGGGCUACCA
rnacentral:tRNA from 2 species